rnacentral:tRNA from 1 species
AUCUCUUGAGUAUUACAUGUACAUUUGCCUUCCAAGCAAAAGGUUUAAAUAAUUUUAAAAGAGAUA